GGCGCUGUGGCUUAGUUGGUUCAAAGUGCCUGUCUAGUAAACAGGAGAUCCUGGGUUCAAAUCCCAGCAGUGCCU